rnacentral:RNase_P_RNA from 1 species
GAAACAAACUGUCUUGUCGCCUCUGUGAAAGCAGGGGAGGAAAGUCCGGGCAGCAUAGAGUACCACACUUCCUAACAGGAAGGUCUCGUUUUAGAAAUGAAAUGGGAACAGAUAGUGCCACAGAAAAAUAUACAACCCACCUGCAAGCUACGGGUGGGUGAAAGGUGAAAACGUGAGGUAAGAGCUCACGGCUUAGUCAGCGAUGGCUACGCGGGUAAACCUUGUGGGCUGAAAGGUCAAAUAGGUUGGGGAGCAGGGCUGCUCGUCUAUCUUCUUCCGCUUGCGGAAGUUGCCCCAAUGGGUAGACUGAUUCAGGUGGCGCGUGAGCGUCAUCGCAGAUAAAUGACAAGAGUCCACCACCCGGUGGAAUACAGAACCCGGCUUAUAGGUUUGUUUCAUUU